UUUCAAUAAAUCUACUAAAGAUAAGAGUCACUCAAACUUGUAAUCUUUUAUUUUGCUCCCUAAACGUCAUAUUUGGAUUUUUGUUUUUUUAUCAAAGAUAUAUAAUACGAUUUUUUUCAUAUUUAUAUAUUUUUGAAUUAGUUGAGCCACCCCAAAAAUCUUUCCACUUCCCCUCUGGCAACUGCAGUAGUUCCCCUUGUGGUGCAAGUAGGCUAGUUGGAAGUCACUGAUGGAGAGGUCUGAGGGAAAGAAGGGUUAGAAAGAGAGGAAGUAUUAGAGCUCCAGAGGAUGUGGAAGAUAUUGAAAUACAGAUCUUUGGCAGUGAAUGAGGAGCUGGCACUGGAGAGUAGAGAGGAGAGGAGAAAGAACAGAGGGUUGGAAGAAAAGUGGACUUUUGCAAAAGAAAACGAAGCUCGAGUCAGAGAGAUAAAGGAUGAGGGUAAUUUGGAGCUUAUUACGUAGUGACAACUGUGGAGGUUAUAGGAACAGUAAUGAUGAUAAAAAGGUAGUUUAGAUCAUUCUUCACUAUUUAGGUAGAUUAUACAUAAUUGCUGAAGGACAUAUUGAAUAUUAGCAAAUUAUGACUUCAUCUUCCGGAGGUAAUUGGUUAAACUUCAAAUUAUGAAGAAGAAAUUGCCAACUUGUGAAUUUCAGUUUCAUCAGACCUUAGUGGCAAAUUGUAUGGAAGAGCAUUACAUUGAAAAAAGGAAUAAAACAUGGUCACCUUAUCAUGUAAAUUAUGAGUUACUAUCUCAUAAUCACAGGAAAACAUCUCCUACAUCUGACCUGCAGGAAGUCACCCUCUUCUUGCAGGAGCAGUUAAUCCAGAACAGGAUGAUUUAUGGAUAUAAAUUCUUGCAUUUUAAAAUUCAUCCGAGCUGGCUGGUGUCACAAAAGAACUGUCCGGUACCUGCUCAAUAUCCCAGAUCCUCCAUUAGUACAGCUGAUGCUACCAUAUCGCCUGUAUACAGACACACAGGUCCCAACUUCUUGCUGUAUGUCGAUUCAUGCGACAAACUAAAACCAUAUGGAAUAUGUAUCAUUGCCGUCGUCAACAGAUUAUAUGGCUGCAUGCGUUCUCCACAAAUAGCAGUCCUGGGGUUGUUGCUGGUUAGUUUACUUCACUGAUGAAGUGGAAAACAGGGACGGCACUCCCUCAUGGGUCAGGGCAGACCUCGGUACUACAGAGGACUGUUUAGUGGCGAGUUCUCUGAUAGAUCCUCAUGUAAUCAUUAUCAAAGGAUUGAACAAUGGUGGGGAUUUUUAAGACAACACCUCGCACAAUACUGGAUCAAUGUCUUUCAAGAUUUAAAGGACCCGGACCGUUUCUAAGGAGACGUCCUUGACAUAAAUCUACGUUCACAACAGAACUAAUUGAGAGGCAGCUGCUAGAGGAACAUGCUAAUCUGUGGAGCUGCCACAGAAUUUGGCCCGGCAGGAAUGCAGGGUCUCCGAGUGGAGGGCCGCUAAUGAUGUACAGCCUUCGCCACUACACUGCAGACUACCUCCAGGCGGUAUCCCAACAGCAAAUGCAAGCUUGUAGAGAGGAAUACCCGCCGAGAGGCCAGCAUCCACGUGAUGAGACUGGUUUUGACAGUUAUCUUCUUUCAACGUCAGAAAAACAAUCUACUCCCACCUUCCACUGCUCCAGAGGAAGCGAUUAAACUUUACCUUUUUUAACGAGCCUCCACCUACGCUCAGCUUUAAUAGCUGUUCCCGGAAAGACAGCGGAGAAAUGCACAAAGACAGCUGGACACACUCGUCAGUGAUCAUUAAUAUUGAAUUGUCCUGAACUGUCCCAUAAUAUUUGUCUUAAAUGUGUCUGAAAUGAUUCCAUCACACUGUUUCUUGAAUCAAUGGUUCUGUAAUCAACAUGAUUACAGCUGAUAAAUGGCAAAUUUACCUUUUAUUAUAUCCGUUCUGUAUUUGUUAUCAUCAUAUUAUGAGCUGUGUUGAAAUUCAUGGGGCAGGUGUUCAUAGCCUUGAUUAUUUAAGUAAUGUGUUAUGUACUGUUCAUGUACACUGUGCGCUUUGUCAACAAAAAUAAAGAAAGAAAAAAAUUACAACGUAUCAUGCCUUUGAUUAAACAUUUCACCAACACUUGUCAACCACUUACCUUGAUUUAUAAUAUAUAUAUUAAA